AUUGAACGCUGGCGGCAUGCCUAACACAUGCAAGUCGAACGAGUGGCGGACGGGUGAGUAAUGUCUGGGAAACUGCCUGCUGGAGGGGGAUAACUACUGGAAACGGUAGCUAAUACCGCAUACCAUCAGAUGUGCCCAGAUGGGAUUAGCUAGUUGGUGGGGUAACGGCCGACAAAGGCGACGAUCCCUAGCUGGUCUGAGAGGAUGACCGGCCACACUGGAACUGCGACACGGUCCAGACGCCUACGGGAGGCAGCAGUGGGGAAUAUUGCACAAGGGGCGCAAGCCUGAUGCAGCAAUGCCGCGUGUAUGAAGAAGGCCUGCGGGUUGUAAAGUACUUUCAGCGGGGAGGCGUUACCCGCAGAAGAAGCACCGGCUAACUCCGUGCCAGCAGCCGCGGUAAUUC
rnacentral:rRNA from 1 species